CAUUGUUGGACACACAGAGGGUGCAUCUCUUGCUAUUGUCUUCUGCCUUCACCCCCUACACCUGAGGUGCGUGCUUGUGAUUUUCAAUCAUGUGCUUCAGUAGUGCUUGAGGAUCAUUACAGGAGAACUCAUAGCAGUAGCCGCAGAAAAUCUCGUCCUCAUAGGGAUUCAUACUAAUUUUCAACUAAUAAGAGAACUCAUAGCAGUAGCUGCAUAUAUAAAGAUAUAGUAUACAACCCACUCAAUAAAUGGAUGGGCCAGG
rnacentral:lncRNA from 1 species